rnacentral:rRNA from 1 species
CACAGUGUAGCAAUACAUGGGUGGCGACCGGCAAACGGGUGCGGAACACGUACGCAACCUUCCUUCAGGCGGGGAAUAGCCCAGAGAAAUUUGGAUUAAUACCCCAUAAUAUUUUGAGAUGGCAUCAUCUUAUUAUUAAAGCUACGGCACCUGGAGAUGGGCGUGCGGCUGAUUAGGUAGUUGGCGGGGUAAUGGCCCACCAAGCCUACGAUUAGUAGCUGAUGUGAGAGCAUGAUCAGCCACACGGGCACUGAGACACGGGCCCGACUCCUACGGGAGGCAGCAGUAAGGAAUAUUGGUCAAUGGACGCAAGUCUGAACCAGCCAUGCCGCGUGGAGGAUGAAGGUCCUCUGGAUUGUAAACUUCUUUUAUCUGGGACGAAAAAAGGGUUUUCUAACUCGUCUGACGGUACCAGAUGAAUAAGCACCGGCUAACUCCGUGCCAGCAGCCGCGGUAAUACGGAGGGUGCAAGCGUUAUCCGGAUUCACUGGGUUUAAAGGGUGCGUAGGCGGGCAUUUAAGUCAGUGGUGAAAUACCUGAGCUUAACUUGGGAACUGCCAUUGAUACUAUUUGUCUUGAAUGUCGUGGAGGUUAGCGGAAUAUGUCAUGUAGCGGUGAAAUGCUUAGAUAUGACAUAGAACACCUAUUGCGAAGGCAGCUAACUACGCGAAUAUUGACGCUGAGGCACGAAAGCGUGGGGAUCAAACAGGAUUAGAUACCCUGGUAGUCCACGCCCUAAACGGUGAUUACUCGACAUUAGCGAUACACUGUUAGUGUCUGAGCG